AUGACUGUUAAAACGACGUUUGGCAAGGCAUAGCAUAUCUAAUUCAUUUAGCCACCUGCGAUCGAGAAAUGUAAAGAGAAGAAGGUUCUGGAUAUCGAUAGAACACAAUUAAAAAUGAACCCAUUGGCGCAGCUUUUACUGGUCUGCCUUUCUCUAGUGGGAAUGGUCCUGGCUCAACAACGACCACCCCAGAUUCCGAGAGAUCCGAUGCCGAGAGAUCCUUAUAGAAUUGACCGCAAAGAUCUUCCACCUAAUCGUGCAAAAUGGUGCCGACUUAUUUUAAGUUCCCCUUUUGGUCAAAGUAAUUGCUAAUUAAGCUGUAUGAUAUAUAAAUGUUUGAUGACAUGCUCCAAAGAAAUCGAUGAGGUCAAUCCCUCUUUUACAAAAAAGAUGUUCUGAAAGAAAAUGUUAAUUGUCUGACUACAUACAAGUUUUCUUUGGUAACCAAAUUAUUUACAGGGCGCAUUUCCUAGUUAUUUAAAAUAGAUUGUAGCCCAGCUAGUAAGCCAAUAUAUUUUUGCAUUCAA